rnacentral:rRNA from 1 species
UACGAAGGGUGCAAGCGUUACUCGGAAUUACUGGGCGUAAAGCGUGCGUAGGUGGUUCGUUAAGUCUGAUGUGAAAGCCCUGGGCUCAACCUGGGAACUGCAUUGGAUACUGGCGAUCUGGUGUGCGGUAGAGGGUGGCGGAAUUCCCGGUGUAGCAGUGAAAUGCAUAGAUAUCGUCAAGAACACCUAUAGCGAAGGCAGCUUACUGGGCUGUAACUGACGCUGAGGCACGAAAGUGUGGGGAUCAAACAGG